AGCGAACGCUGGCGGCAGGCUUAACACAUGCAAGUCGAGCGGGCAUCCUUGUGGUGUCAGCGGCAGACGGGUGAGUAACGCGUGGGAACGUGCCCUUCGGUUCGGAAUAACUCAGGGAAACUUGAGCUAAUACCGGAUACGUGCGAGAGCAGAAAGGUUUAUCUGCCGAAGGAUCGGCCCGCGUCUGAUUAGCUAGUUGGUGAGGUUAUGGCUCACCAAGGCGACGAUCAGUAGCUGGUCUGAGAGGAUGAUCAGCCACACUGGGACUGAGACACGGCCCAGACUCCUACGGGAGGCAGCAGUGGGGAAUAUUGGACAAUGGGGGCAAUCCUGAUCCAGCCAUGCCGCGUGAGUGAUGUCGGCCUGAGGGUUGUAAAGCUCUUUUCUCCGGGACGAUAAUGACGGUACCGGAGGAAUAAGCCCCGGCUAACUUCGUG
rnacentral:rRNA from 1 species